GCCAGCGAUGUGCCUGAGGGGGCGGUGAUACGGAUGGUGCGGUCGCUGUCCGGAAUGUCUGGGCGUAAAGGGCUUGUUGGCGGUUGUUCGCGUCGAUUGUGAAAACUUGCAUCGCAACUGCAAGCUUGCAGUCGAUACGGGCGGACGAGAGUACUUCAGGGGAGACUGGAAUUCCUGGUGUAGCGGUGAAAUGCGCAGAUAUCAGGAGGAACACCGGUGGCGAAGGCGGGUCUCUGGGAAGUAACUGACGCUGAGAAGCGAAAGCGUGGGUAGCGAACAGGAUUAGAUACCCUAGUAGUC
rnacentral:rRNA from 1 species